CCCCUGGCUCCGGGGAUGCCCUUGUGACCAAAAUUCAGACAAUACAGUUCUGCGUUACAGUUUAGUCUGGUCAUAACUGGAGUCAAGAUUCAAGUGGACAUAGGAUCCAAGUCUGCACAAUCCAUCUCUGACUUGUAGUUCUGAGGCUUCACUUUGAUCUUCCUGAGACAAGGACUGGAAUUUAGAGUUUCAAAGAUAUAUGUUCUGGAGCUGCUACAGACAGAGCCUGGCUGAGGACUGAUCCAAAAUAGAGGUGAGAAGAACCAGAAGACAGACAAAAAUAAUCCAGAUUCUGACAGUUUUAUUGUAAGCUUCUCAUCAAGGUGCUCCAAAGUUUCGAAGGCUGGAAGUCCAAGUUCAAGGUACCUGCAGAUUCGGUGUCUGGCUUCCUGGUUCAUACAUGACUGUCUUCUUGCUGUAUCUCCACAUGUCUUCAUGUGAUGGAAGAGGAAACAUCUUGACCAGACCUACCCAUGAAUGGCUGCAGGAAAGAAGACAUUAAUACAUCCCUUUCAGAGUCUAGUCAGAGCCAGGAAAUAUUUUUAAAGACGUAUUUCCUUUUUUGACUUUACCUCCUCACCUCCCCUUCUUUGUUCUGAAAAAGAAACUAGCAUCCAAACCCCAGGCAAAAUGGUUCUCUGGAACACUAG